AGCAAAGAGAAGGAACGGCUCUUGCUAAAGGAUAAAAUGCCUGGCACCUUUUUAUUAAGAUUCAGUGAAAGCCAUCUUGGAGGAAUAACUUUCACCUGGGUGGACCAUUCUGAAAGUGGGGAAGUGAGAUUCCACUCUGUAGAACCCUACAAUAAAGGCCGGUUGUCUGCUCUGCCAUUCGCUGACAUCCUGCGAGACUACAAAGUUAUUAUGGCUGAAAACAUUCCUGAAAACCCUCUGAAGUACCUAUAUCCUGACAUUCCCAAAGACAAAGCCUUCGGUAAACACUACAGCUCUCAGCCUUGUGAAGUUUCAAGACCAACAGAAAGGGGUGACAAAGGUUAUGUUCCUUCCGUUUUUAUCCCCAUCUCAACAAUGUGAGUAAUGUUAGUCACAUGUAAAAUAUUUUUUAUAAAAAGCUUUCCUAUAGGAGAUUUAAAGGUAGAGCAGAGUACACAUAACUGAGAAUAAAGCAUUGUAAUGUGCAAUGUCCCAUUUCCUUUAAUACAUAAAGCUAGCCUUCAGGGCACACUUACAAUCUAUUGUGCCUAAAAUUAUAAAAUUCCCCUUUUAUAUGCCAUACAUGCCAUAGUAAGUUGAGUGUUCUGAUAUGAAAU
rnacentral:sRNA from 1 species